rnacentral:rRNA from 1 species
ACUCGACACCUACGGAGCAGCAGUUGGGAAUAUUGGACAAUGGAGGAAACUCUGAUCCAGUGACGCCGCGUGAAGGAAGAAGGUCUUCGGAUUGUAAACUUAUUUUGUCAGGGAAGAAAAAAUGACUGUACCUGAAGAAAAAGACACCGGCUAACUACGUGUCAGCAGCCGCGGUAAUCUGAGCGGGCUGGCAAGGC